AAGGUUGCCAAUCUAUGCUCAGCCACUGGAAAACUAGAAUGUUAGUUAAGUCUGCAUCAGUGGUCUCCACGCUCCACUUUCAUUUGCUCAAAGAUUUCAAGUAUGAUUGCAGGGACCAUAGGGCAGUUCUUGGAAGCUUAUGAGACCUGAAUGACUGAUUUCUUCUAUGAGCAUAUUGAACAAGAAUUGUGCUCAGAUACGUCUCUCUCACACCUUUUUUUUCUUCUGCCAUAUACUUGCUUUGAAUUUCCGACUGCAAUACUUAUCUAUUCUUAUUAGGUUAAUAGGAAAAAAGUAUUAGAUAAUAGCUUCUUGAAUUUGGCCAUUAGUUUUUUUUAACCUUCUCGUGCACUUGUAUAUGAAAGCAAGUGAGGCUAGAGCCAAUAUUGCAAAAAUUAUUGAAUGUUUUGUUUCUAGUAAAAUGUGGUUAUUACUUUUAUAAUUUUUAGACAGAGGAAAAUUGUAAAAUAUUUUUGGUUAUGCAUCCAACUGUCAUGAAGGUGGCGACUCUUCUAAAUACCCUUUUUUUUUCCAAAACGGGAGCUCAAAUAAUGAUUAAUUUCUUUAAUUCUUAUAAACCACAAAUGUACCACUAAUGAAGUGCAGGUGCUCCACUCAGCUAUAAUAAAGUAGUUUCUUUAGAAGAUUUGGAGGAAAAAUACGCCCUACCUCUCUGUCCUCUCUCUCAAGCAGGAAUAAACACAUCAUCAAACACCAAGUUGAAGUUAAGAUUGGUCUCUUUGGAAGCUUGAGGAUUUAAAGUGAUGAAUUUUUCAUCAAGGAUAAGAGGAUUUUUCCAACCUUCAUUUGAAUAACCUUGGAUCAAGUUAAUUGGAGAAUUUUACUGUCAACUAGGGAGUACCUUUGUUUGGCUAAAAUCUCCAGGCGAAGGUAAAGGUAGAGGAAAGCUGGCGAGCGACAAAGAAGGAUCCGUGACAUGCCAUAUGGGGACUCAGUUUUGCUUCCGCGUUUUAAUAUUCCAUUUUUAAUGAAAAUUUAUUCUUCCCUCGUUUCAAAAAAAAGUGUCUCUUGUCAUUGUUUCUCCUUAGUAACGACCUCAGCUUAGUAUAAAGAGUUGGGUCGUUACAUAUUAUUUCAAAUAUUUAUAGUUUUCAACGUUAUUUCUGAUAUUUAUU